rnacentral:rRNA from 1 species
UACGUAGGAUGCAAGCGUUGUCCGGAUUUACUGGGCGUAAAGCGCGCGCAGGCGGCUCUUUAAGUAUGGCGCGAAAUCUCCCUGCUCAACGGGGAGGGUGCGUUGUAGACUGAGGAGCUUGAGGUCGGUAGAGGGGGGUGGAAUUGCUGGUGUAGCGGUGAAAUGCGUAGAGAUCAGCAGGAACACCCGUGGCGAAGGCGGCCCCCUGGGCCGUACCUGACGCUGAGGCGCGAAGGCUAGGGGAGCGACCCGG